rnacentral:rRNA from 1 species
UACGAAGGGGGCUAGCGUUGUUCGGAAUUACUGGGCGUAAAGCGCACGUAGGCGGCUUUGCAAGUUAGAGGUGAAAGCCCGGGGCUCAACUCCGGAAUUGCCUUUAAAACUGCAUCGCUAGAAUUGUGGAGAGGUAAGUGGAAUUCCGAGUGUAGAGGUGAAAUUCGUAGAUAUUCGGAAGAACACCAGUGGCGAAGGCGACUCACUGGACACGUAUUGACGCUGAGGUGCGAAAGCGUGGGGAGCAAACAGG